CGCAUCAGCACCGGUUGAGGGGUGGACUGGGGGUGCGCACGCUGCAAAUCGAGACUUCCCUAAACCGCGCCCGGGUCAGGGGGGCGCGAGGGACAAGUGCGGCGACCCUCGAGGCGCCUCCAACUUUCCUAAUGUCCCGCUGGGAUGCCCUGGAGAGCACGUUUCCAUCAUCCUUUCCAAGGUGGUCCAAGGGUCAGGGACCGGGGCGGGGUCGGGAGCAGUUGCUCUGAGGUUUCUGGAAUAGACCUUCGCUUCCAGGAGAAACGCCGCUGCUUUCUCCAGAGACACACGUUAGUUGCAGACUGAGAUGUUUGUUUUAAGACUCUUCUGUUGGAAAACUAACACACGUAUGUUAAAUGUGUAGUGCACGAAUACGUUGCUGCGUACAAAGCUGAGCCAUAUCUAGAGAAUAAAGACGACCACGCCACGUCCCCUCCACCUUGCAGCCGCUCCCCAGCGGUCACCUCGGGUCGGGUGUGCUCCGCUGCGGGUCUUUCUACUCCUUGCUCUGCCCUUUUACCCGCACACGCGCGGAUUGCAAGUGGAUUCUCACGGGCUUUUCAAAAGAAAUGUUUUACCGCGCGGCACACGCACACACUGGCGAAAACACGGCCACUUGAGCUGCGAUAAAUUCCCCAGAGGCGUGCGGAAUCCGGAGAAAGAUCCGGAUCCCUGCAGCGACACACAAGGAGCCACCCCAUUGCCCCGCAAAAUCUGAAACUGCAGCUGGGCCCUGAAGUCAGCCUGAGCACACAGCUCACGCCCCUGUUAGCGUUGCGCGGCUGGAGAAAUUGGCCAGCGCAUUUCAGACGGGGUGAUGCCCUUGGCGUUUUUGUUGUUGUUGUUGUUUUUUUUAACAGAAAACAAGCUGUCUUUGGAUUUGGAUGUGAUGAGACCUCUGGAUUUGCAAAAUAAAAAGGGGAUCUUCCUGGCCCAGGGAUCAAACCCCGGUCUCCUACAUUGCAGGCGGAUUCUUUAUCAUCUGAGACACCACUGUAAGGACCAAAGUUUAAGCUGGAAACAUCAAUGCUCACAACUCCGCGGAGCAAGCUUGGGCCCUCCAUUCGGCAGCACUGCCAAGGCUGGUGGAGAAGUGCGUAGUGCUGUCACUCCAGCCACAGGCACUUGGUGUUCACGGAGCAAGAUCUGCUGAUGGGAUGUUGUUCUAGUAGGUUUUGGAAGGCUUUGUCAGUUCGUGAACCAAGGGGAAGGGCAGGGAGAUUGCUGGGUUCCUUUAAAUAUUUGGAUGUGCUUCCCAGGAAGCAACCGAGUCACAGCCAUCCCUGGGGCUCUUAGGAUGGCGUUCAAAUUUGGACCCUUUGGAGAGGAGCUCCUUGACUGAUAUAAAUAAAUUCUCAUUGAUCAACUGGGGUUUUCACCUCGCUCCCUGACUAACCAACAUCUUUAGUAAAAUGAUUCAUUAACCUGUGAAAGCCAGAUCUCUUGAUCCCCAGAAUCUGGUCCUCUUGGAAUAAAGUAAUUUAAAAAUCUAUUUCUUUUUCAGCUGAAUUAAUAUUAGAUUUCACGA